UACGGAGGGUGCGAGCGUUGUCCGGAAUCACUGGGCUUAAAGGGCGCGUAGGCGGGCUGCCGCGUCCGGGGUGAAAUCCCACGGCUCAACCGUGGAACGGCCCCGGGUACGGGCGGCCUCGAGGGGGGUAGGGGCGGGCGGAACUGUGGGUGGAGCGGUGAAAUGCGUUGAGAUCCACAGGGACUCCGGUGGCGAAGGCGGCCCGCUGGACCCCAUCUGACGCUGAGGCGCGAAAGCCAGGGGAGCGAACGGG
rnacentral:rRNA from 1 species